GACGAACGCUGGCGGCGUGCUUAACACAUGCAAGUCGAACGGAAAGGCCCUGCUUUUGUGGGGUGCUCGAGUGGCGAACGGGUGAGUAACACGUGAGUAACCUGCCCUUGACUUUGGGAUAACUUCAGGAAACUGGGGCUAAUACCGGAUAGGAGCUCCUGCUGCCUGGUGGGGGUUGGAAAGUUUCGGCGGUUGGGGAUGGACUCGCGGCUUAUCAGCUUGUUGGUGGGGUAGUGGCUUACCAAGGCUUUGACGGGUAGCCGGCCUGAAAGGGUGACCGGCCACAUUGGAACUGAGAUACGGCCCAGACUCCUACGGGAGGCAGCAGUGGGGAAUAUUGCACAAUGGGCGGAAGCCUGAUGCAGCAACGCCGCGUGCGGGAUGACGGCCUUCGGGUUGUGAACCGCUUUCGCCUGUGACGAAGCGUGAGUGACGGUAAUGGGUAAAGAAGCACCGGCUAACUACGUG
rnacentral:rRNA from 1 species